rnacentral:rRNA from 1 species
AGAGUUUGAUCAUGGCUCAGAUUGAACGCUGGCGGAAUGCUUUACACAUGCAAGUCGAACGGCAGCACGGACUUCGGUCUGGUGGCGAGUGGCGAACGGGUGAGUAAUAUAUCGGAACGUAUCCAAUAAUGGGGGAUAACUAAGCGAAAGCUUGGCUAAUACCGCAUACGCCCUGAGGGGGAAAGCUGGGGAUCUUCGGACCUAGCGUUGAUGGAGCGGCCGAUAUCUGAUUAGCUAGUUGGUGGGGUAAAGGCCCACCAAGGCGACGAUCAGUAGCUGGUCUGAGAGGACGACCAGCCACACUGGAACUGAGACACGGUCCAGACUCCUACGGGAGGCAGCAGUGGGGAAUUUUGGACAAUGGGCGCAAGCCUGAUCCAGCCAUUCCGCGCGAGUGAAGAAGGCCUUCGGGUUGUAAAGCUCUUUCGCAAGGGAAGAAACGUUACGGGCGAAUAACCCGUGAUAAUGACGGUACCUGAUAGAAGACCCCUGGCC